AGUGGCCACAGGACUCGAAAAGCUGGAAUGCCAGACUCCACAUGGCUCAGUUCCAGACACACAAGGUCGAAACCUACAGCCUGUGACUGGAGGACUGAGGCCUGGUGCUAAGAGAAGAUUCAACAGAAAGUCUUGACCUACAUCGAGAAGUCAGACAAGGUCUCUGUGAGGAAGAAACACUUAGGAUUGGCAAGGUGGGAAAUGGAAGAGUUUUGUAAGCAGAGAGAAGAGCCUGAGUACUCUGACACAGAAAGAUAUUUACUGAACAGAAAACCAGCCAGUGUGACUGCACCGUGGGAACGAGGAUGGGAUAAUGCCAGGUAGAGGCUGAUUUCUGCAAGGCGUAUUAAUUGAGGACGUUAUUUCAAAAGCAACUGGACAUCACUUAAGAAUCUGCAGGAGGAAAGUUAGAGGUUUAAGUUUGUUUUUCAGCACUUACUCUGCUAUGCGAGGAAGUUGUUGUUCAGUUGGCUCAGUC